CGCCUCUGCCAUUUUCAUACCUCAAAAUGGCUCUCAAAUUGAGUUUAUCCACCUUCCAAUGCCCAAAGAUUCCACCUUUUUCCAGAAAUCAGCCCACCCAUUUCAGAUCUCACACUCUCCUCAAGGCCUCUACUCUUGGCAUCCCCCCUUUGUAAGCUUCUUGCUUUCUUUCUUCUUUUUUUCAAGUUUUUUCAAGUGCAUGCUGUUUUUUUAUGCUCAAAAUGUGUUCUUUUGCUUAAAGUUAUGGUUUUUAUUGGAAUUGAUGCAUGCCCACUUAUCUUUCUGCCUCAUAGAAGAUCAUUUCAUGUGGGUUUGUUGAUUGUCUACAUUGUUUUUGAGUGUAUGAUGAACCUUUGUUAAUCAAUUUAGUUUUGAUUUUUUUUUUUUUAAAUUUGCUUGUUGAUUGUUUAGUAUGUGUUUGUUGUACCUAUCUGUCUUGAUUAAGGCCAGAGAAAAUUGAUGGUUUGGCAUAAUUUGUCUGUAUGACAACUUGACAAGAUUGCUUAGUUUUGGUGUAUUAGCUGAUUUAGUUUUUCAUCCACUUUUCUCAUCAGUUAUGUGUCUUGUCUUCUAUUCCUUAGAUUUGGUUGGUAGGGUAUUUAGUGGUUAUUUAUAUUUCUUGCAGUAUAUACUUGUUGAUGCUUCUUUGAUGCAUGAAAAGUAAUAUUCUAACAAAAAAAAGAAGUUCGGAAUUAAUGAAAAAUGUAUCUCAGACUUCAGCCAUGGCAACAUGUAUACCAUCACCUGGGAAUAAUCGAGAGGCUUUAAUUUUUGAUGACCCAGCAGAAGCCUUAAGAAGUUUUUUUAUGGCUUUUGCUGGAUACAAUAUGUGUUUUUUAUGUCCGUGUUCGGAAGAAUUACAUAUAUUUCCUUCUUUUUUUACCAUUUUUUUUAUGAGACUUGGUGCUGAAUGAUUAGUGAAAAUUACUCUGUUGUGGUUACAAGCCCAUCUCCUUCUCUGUAAGUUUGUUAUCCAUCCCCACUUAUCUUUAUAUUUGCUUCUUAAUUUUGAACUGUAUUGUUUAUUUAGGGAGGUUGAGAAUAAGAAGAAGCCUUUUACUCCGCCGCGAGAGGUACAUGUUCAAGUGACCCACUCUAUGCCAGAAGAGAAAAUCGAGAUCUUUAAAUCUUUACAUAAAUGGGCUGAGGAGGACCUCUUGGUGCACCUAAAGCCUGUUGAGAAAUGUUGGCAGCCCAAUGAUUUUCUGCCAGACCCAGCCUCAGAAGGUUUCAUGGACCAAGUCAAAGAGCUAAGGGAAAGAUCGAAGGAGAUUCCUGAUGAAUAUUAUGUUGUAUUAGUAGGCGAUAUGAUCACAGAAGAAGCUCUUCCAACUUAUCAGACAAUGCUUAACACACUUGAUGGUGUUAGAGAUGAGACUGGUGCUAGCCCCAGUCCCUGGGCUAUCUGGACCAGAGCAUGGACGGCUGAAGAAAAUAGGCAUGGAGACCUUCUCAACAAGUAUCUCUACCUUUCGGGUCGGGUUGAUAUGAGGCAAAUUGAGAAGACAAUUCAGUAUUUGAUAGGAUCAGGAAUGGUGAGAUCUUAAAUCAUAUUUUAAGUUAUGUUAGCAUAAGCUAGGGGUCAUAAGAUUAAGCUCUAAAUUCUGCAUUUUUCUUCCAAAAUAGAGCAUUUACUCCUGACAAUACUGCUCGCUUAUAAUUAACAUAAUAAUUUCAACAUGGUAGACUUCAGAACAUUUAAUAUGGGAUUAUUUAAAUCGAGCAUAAACUUAUUGAUUUCUAUGCUGCACUUGUUGCUACUGCCUCUUUUUCUCUUAAUUAAAUGAUUGUUUUCAUACCGAAUUUUGAUUGUACUCUUUGAUAAUGUGACAUUAAGUCAUUAUUGGUUCAUAGUUAAAGAUGCUACAUGAGGUUGCUUCUAUUUACUUUGUGAUUCUGUCACGGGCCUCUUUUUGAACAAUAUAGUUAGUUCUGCUUGUUCAGAUGUACAGAAUCUGUAACAUUUACAUUGAAUUGGAAGGUUGUUAAAAGAUAGAUUGUCGGCUUUGCUUUGUAAACAACUAUAAUUGCAUUAAACUUAGUGUGCCAUUUUGCUUGACACCCAUCUCAAACUUGUUUCUAAAUCUUUCUUCACUAUGUAUCCUCCGUGAUUUUUAGGAUCCUCGAACAGAGAACAACCCCUACCUUGGUUUUAUCUACACAUCAUUUCAAGAAAGGGCAACCUUCAUCUCCCAUGGUAACACAGCUAGGCAUGCCAAGGAAUAUGGAGAUCUAAAACUGGCGCAGGUAUGUGGUAUCAUUGCUGCAGAUGAGAAGCGCCAUGAAACUGCCUACACCAAGAUUGUGGAAAAGCUGUUGGAGAUUGAUCCUAGUGACACUGUGCUGGCUCUUGCUGACAUGAUGAAAAAGAAAAUCUCAAUGCCAGCUCACCUGAUGUAUGAUGGGCAAGAUGAUAAUCUUUUUGAUAACUUCUCAUCUGUGGCUCAACGGCUUGGUGUUUACACUGCCAAGGACUAUGCCGAUAUCCUUGAAUUCUUGGUGGGAAGAUGGAAUAUUGAGAAACUGGGGGGCCUUUCCAGCGAGGGGAAUAAAGCACAAGAUUAUGUAUGCGGACUAGCUCCAAGAAUAAGGAGGUUGGAGGAGAGAGCAGCAGGUCGGGCCAAGAAGAAGGGCACUGCUCCUUUCAGCUGGAUUUUCGGUAAAGAAGUUCAGCUCUAAUGCAAAACAGAAUGUAAGUCGGUCAUAAACAGCUUUUAUUUUAGGCAUAAUUAAUAGCCAAUGCUGAAUCAAGAAUCUGAGCUUUUUUUUUUUUUGGUCCUUGUAUCAGAAUCUGGAUAGAGUUCCAACUGAAGCUGGAUAUUGUACUCGUAUGGGCGGCUAUAUGAGAUUUGCUUGUAAAAAGAUGGCAAUUGUAGUGUGUUAAUGUUUUGUUUGUGGUCCAUACACUAUGAAAUAAUUAAUAUUUUGUUUCUCCAUAGAAGGUACCUUGUAAUGUAUGACGUGUUAGUAGAAUUUUGAACGUAGAAACAGCAUGUAUUCUACCGUGUCUGUGUUUUGUAAUGGUGGGUGUUUUGCAAUGGUGUUUUAUGUUCGAUAUUACUAUCUGAACUCAAAGCUUAGACAAUCGGUCCUUUUCAGAUCGGCUGCCUAAGCAUGCUCAGAUUUCUUAAAUUAUUUGUUACUCCCUCCGUCCCCCUAUACAUUGGGGGACGGGGACGCGGCACGGACUUUAAUGCUCCUGUAAAGUGUAGUUGUGUAAUUUAUUUUUAAAAUUUUCUUUUUCUGAAUUAAAGUUUGGAUGUUAUAUUUUUAUUCAGAAAAAGAAAAUCUCAAAAAUAAGUUACGGAACUAUAUUUUAUAAGAGCAUUGAAAUGCGUGUCGAACAGUUGAAAAGAAGCGUAUACAAUUAAAUGGGACAGAGGGAGUAUAUUUUUGGUCAGGAUGUUAUGCUCAGAUUUAAAAGUGAAUGUCUAUGGUUUUAGAAGAGAUCAUGUAUCUAUUUUUGGUAUCAGAUGAUUUGUCAAAGUUUUACAUUUGUGCUUUUGAAUCUAACAGCCAAGUUUAUUGUUUUGCUAGUUACACAUUCCUUUUACUAGUUACUCCGAAAUUAAAUAUGAUUUGUGAAACACAGUAUGUUAUCACAUACAAAUUGCAAACUUUGGUGAAAGCAAAGAAAGGUUGAGAAACCUGCCAAGAAAUAAAAAGGGGGAGAGGUUUCAAAUGUUGAAGUAUGAUGGUCUUGCAAGAAUCUAGUAACAUUUUAAAUCUCAAAAAAGAAAAAAAAAGAUGACCCCAACAUAAAGAUCACUUUUUUUCAUGCUCAAAAGAAUUAUACUAUGCGUCAUUGGUCUAAAAAUCAGUGAUUAACCGAUUAAUUCAUGUUUCAUAGCUUGCUGAAUUGAUUAAAUCUUUGAUUGUUUAAUUAAUCAUCCGAUUAAUCUCCUAUCAAUCCACUUAUUUUUCAAUUAAUCCUUGUUUCAUGUCUUGACCGAUUAAAUCCGAUUUUUGCAUUUUACAACACUGCUCUGCCCUGACUAUUGAUCAACAUCCCAGUUAGGAAUAUGAAUCAUACUCACUCAGUCCCCUGCCCUUUUGGCGGCCUAAAGUUUUCAUCUUUAUUGUUUUUGACAUGUUUGAAAGAUGUCCUUGGAGCAUCACUAUAGUUUCUGAUAGGAACUGGAAUGUCUCAACAUACCUAGCCAGACAAAGGCAAGGAUAUAAUUGUAUUUUGAAUCUAACACAAGCACUGCUCUGUGAGUCUGUGACACGUAAAAAAAAUGAUUGAUAAUAUAUCGUAAUGCGAAUUUGUACCGAGAAACAACCGAUUAAUAUAGUAUGAUGUGCCUGUUUGGCUACCAAUUUUUUGGUAAAAUAAGCACUUAGUUUUUUAAAAAUAAUACUCCCUCCGUCCCCCUCAUUUGUUAACAUUGGGGGACGGGGGCUCGGCACGCAUUCUAAUACUCUUGUAAAACGUAGUUCGAUAAAUUAUUUUGAACUUUUUUUUCUUCUAAAUAAAAAUUUGAUGUUUAAAUUUUCUAUACAAAAACGAAAAAUUUUAAAAAUAAAUUAUAGAACUAUGUUUUAUAUGCGCCUUAAAAUGCGUGUCGAGCAGUGUGAAAGAACCGUGAAGAAAUGAGAGGGACAGAGGGAGUACAUUUUUUUGGAUAAAAAUAUAAAAGAGAUAUUUCAUAUUCAUUAGUAUUUGAUUAAAAAAAAUAAAGAAAAAGUAAAAUUUUAUGUCGUGAUAGUCUAAUAGACAUGUACCCAUAGUUUCUUUAUAUUUUAUAUCAGCAAAGGGUAUAUUAGCUUAGUCAUGGUAACAAGAUGACUCAGUUUGUUCUUCAUUGUAAAUUAUUAAUGCAUUUUGUUGAUGAUAUCUCAUCAAAUUUCUUUUCUAAAAGAUUAGAAAAAGCACUUCUGUUAAUGUUCAAACUAUAACAUGGAUAUAUAUAACAAGAUUCCUGUAAUGGUAACAGAACUAUUUAGCUACAGGAACUAAUAUAACAACUUUACAAAUACACAUCACAUUUCACCAUUGCAUCUACAUAUGCUAUAGCUACACAUAGCGCUGCAUGGUGUCCGAUUAACUACCACAAACUACGAACAUACAGAAGUAUACUGCUUAUAGUUAGACAAAGAAUGGAUCUAAACUACCCCUCAUUUCCAGCCAAUAUUGAGAAAUGCUGCUUCUGUGCAACUGAGGACGACUUGCCAUGUAAAUCAAAAGUCUAUUUUAGUGAGCUUUGACCGGGGUAAAAUAUUAAUGUUGUUAAAAGGAGCCGCCUGUUCUACAUGGAUGUAAUCCUUUGUCUUCAAAACCUGAUAACCAACCAAAUGUCAGAUAAACGGAUUGUUAGAGCUGCAUCUAUGUGAGACAUGAAUAAUUUAAGGGGGAAACACAGCAGGAUUGCAAUUGUUUGUAUAUGAUCACGACAAAAAGUUGGAAUCAGGUUGAGGACGCUUCUAAACUACAAGUUAAAACACAGUUCAGACAAUUUUAAAAUAUCAACAGCUCAUGCUGCUUGUUUCAUACUAUGAAGAAUGUAUAACUGAAAACGACUAAAAGAAUAAGGAAUUGAAUAGGACAGUAUAAACUAACAAGAAUGGUCGGGACAACAAACAUUAGUAGCCUGCUCCUUUAUCUGAUUCAGGACUAAGGUGCCUACCCGGAUAUGGGUAAAUAAUGCAUAGCAGACACCAUUUAACCCCCUAAUAAAUUGGUAAGGUAAACAUAAAAAAUCAGACACAUGACAGGUGGACCAGCUGUUCACGGUAAUCUGAGAAUUUAGCAAGGAACAAACAGUGAACACCAACACCAAUACACCACCACUGAUCGUGAACUAUGGAAAGGUCUACACCCCCACACCAAUGAGACAGUAAAAUUCAUUUCAUACAAGAGGAAACAUCCAGGACAGACUACACAGAUUCCAUUACAUUUGUAUGAUGUUCAAGUUAAGAAAUUCCAUAACUUACCAGUGUUUCGAAAAACAUUCUUGAUGCCUCCUUGCGACUUUUACCUACCAGUAAGUUGUCAAUAGGAAGAACAUUCCGAUUGCGCUCUGCUUCUUUGUCAAACAUGAUCUGGAGGUACUUGGCAACAGCUCUGCGAUGAAAAUGACUUGUAACUUACACUAGAGCAGUUUUGACAAUUAAAAUGAUUAAAGAAGACCUCAAAUCAGAGAGAAUAAAUUAAUUACAGUAGACUGAAAGAGAUGACACGCUCGGGACUGAUGUGCAUAAACUAAAGUAAUGGAAAAGGGACAUGGUAUAUAGAAUGCUACAUAUAGGGUUAGUUUAAAGAAACAUAGGCACAUGUUUUAGAUUUUUCAUUUAGAAGAACUCUAGGUUCCUUAAAGUUCGUGGUCCAUGUCACGAAAAAUAUUAGGAGGCUCUCUAUAACUGGAAGCGCGAAACACACAUAAUGAAAAACGAAAAAGAAAAAGUACGUGUAGCUGAUUAUACAAUAAACAAUAAACAUCUGAUCUUUUUUAUCAGCAAGCGAUUAAGGUAACCUAAAUGUCCUUUAAAAUGAUAUUUUCUUAAGUUUAUUUUAGAAAUAGAGGUUACAUUUUACAAUAUAACAAUAUAACAGGUGAUGUAUUCAGAAAGGUAUCAACCGCCCGAAAGCCAUCUCUGAAGGGAAAUUGGCAAAUUACCGCUAAUUAAAUGUACAGGGUAACCUUUGUGCAAGGGAAAACACUAUUGACGGCUUAUUAAUUCGAGAUGCUAAAACCAUAUAAUUAUAAAAGCAAUUCACUGGGUACUUACCUAGUACGGGAUGACCAUCCACUGUUGUCAAUAAAGCGUGUUUCUUCAGUAUUAGGCACAUCUUCCUCAUCUGCUUCAGCUACUUCGUCCUCGUCAUAAUUAAGAAACUCUAAAGCCAAAAAGAUAACACAAAAACCCAAAUUUAAAAAUAGGACAAGAUGCACAACAUCUACAGCAAACGAGAGCCAAAAGUAAAGCAGUUUAUCAUAACAGGAUUAACUAUGGAGCUCCAUGGGUGUUCCUAUACCAAGUCCAAAACUAAAGAAAACUAAACUAGAGAAUCAGGAUCCGGGAGCAAAUAGCAAGGAAGUACACAAAGGAUACCAAAUUUGUAGAAACACAUGAAGUGAUAUACAAGUCAUUCCA
rnacentral:lncRNA from 1 species